rnacentral:rRNA from 1 species
GAGAGUUGACGAAGCAUCUGUGGUGAAGACUUUCGUGAUUGCUCACUUGCAUUGAGUGAUUCGUUUGUUGGAUCUGCUUUGGCUGCGUUGGUSGGGUUAUUGGUGUCAAUUGAAGCGUGUAGCGUUGCCCACAUCUGUGGUGUCUUGCUUGCGUGGAGAGUGAUCACUGGUAGCUUAUAGCUUGCUGCAAA